UCCAGAUGGACUUUCUGGCCGAGACCAGCCAGUGGAGCUGCUGAAUCCUGCCCGCGUGAACCACAUGCCCAGCACGGUGGAUGUGGCCACGGCGCUGCCUCUGCAAGUGGCCCCCUCGGCAGUGCCCAUGGACCUGCGCCUGGACCACCAGUUCUCACUGCCUGUGGCAGAGCCGGCCCUGCGGGAGCAGCAGCUGCAGCAGGAGCUCCUGGCGCUCAAGCAGAAGCAGCAGAUCCAGAGGCAGAUCCUCAUCGCCGAGUUCCAGAGACAGCACGAGCAGCUCUCCCGGCAGCACGAGGCGCAGCUCCACGAGCACAUCAAGCCCAACACAGAUCCUGGCUGAGGAUGGCCUCAGGGGCUCCUGCUGAAUUCCAUUUUUCCUGUUGUCACUGCACCCUGGUGAGCCCUGCAGUCCUUGCCGUUGAUCACCUGGAGCAUUCACAGCGCGUGAUUAGGAGACCCCACCCCAAAGCCGCCAUGGGUGUCGGUGCAGAGCGAGGUUAAGGAGAUGGGAUUGUGGAUGUCUCAUUCCGUGCUGGUUGAAUUUGUAGCUUUUACAAGAAGAAGACGUAGAUGAGAAGCUGAGAAGUAAGCCUAAGCCCUUUGUGUUUGACCGGGGCUCCUCAAGGUAGUCCUAGGAGGCCAGAAGACGUAAAGAAGACACUUGAGUUGGGGUGAGUGCUGCCACCUCAGGGUGAGGCCAGGUGCCACCUCCAGAACCCCUCUGCCUCUCCUCUCCUGGUGCCCCAGGAGCUGGCUUCACUGCUUAGAAGAGAGCACCCCGACCCCAGUCCUCACGUCACUCCUACAGGCCAGGCCUUCAGGCCAUGUUCCUCAUUCCUGGAGGUGUCCCUGGGAGAGCCCACCCCACCCUGCAGGGCGGACCCUCGGAGAGAUGGCCAUGGUUCUACAUGGCUCUGGAGCCAGUCUCUGGGCCAGGGUCUCAAAAGCACAGAAGGAAGUUCAAGGUUGCCUUUCUCUUUGCAUUUUGAUCAUUUAUUU
rnacentral:sRNA from 1 species